rnacentral:rRNA from 1 species
CAUGCAAGUCGAACGGACUGGUACCUGGUGGAAGCUUGCUUGAGGUGAGGACCAUGAGAAAUCGUGAGAAUCACCAAGGGCGAGGGGAAGCCAAAAACUGGUCAGUGGCGGACGGGUGAGUAUCACGUGGGUGACCUGCCUCGAAGUGGGGGAUAACUGCUCGAAAGGGCAGCUAAUACCGCAUGUGGUUCAGCAGUCGAAUGCUGAACCAAAGGAGUAAUCCGCUUUGGGAGGGGCCCGCGGCCCAUUAGCUAGUUGGUAGGGUAACGGCCUACCAAGGUAAUGAUGGGUAGCCGGCCUGAGAGGGUGUACGGCCACACUGGGACUGGGACACGGCCCAGACUCCUACGGGAGGCAGCAGUGAGGAAUUUUGCGCAAUGGGCGAAAGCCUGACGCAGCGACGCCGCGUGGAGGAUGAAGGCCUUCGGGUUGUAAACUCCUGUCAGAGGAGAAGAAAUCCCGAGUAAUCGGGUUGGACGG